rnacentral:rRNA from 1 species
AGGACGAACGCUGGCGGCGUGCUUAACACAUGCAAGUCGAGCGGAAAGGCCCUUCGGGGUACUCGAGCGGCGAACGGGUGAGUAACACGUGAGCAACCUGCCCCUGACUCUGGGAUAAGCCUAGGAAACUGGGUCUAAUACCGGAUAGUACCCCCUGUUUCAUGGUGGGGGGUGGAAAGUUUUUCGGUUGGGGAUGGGCUCGCGGCCUAUCAGCUUGUUGGUGGGGUGAUGGCCUACCAAGGCGACGACGGGUAGCCGGCCUGAGAGGGCGACCGGCCACACUGGGACUGAGACACGGCCCAGACUCCUACGGGAGGCAGCAGUGGGGAAUAUUGCGCAAUGGGCGAAAGCCUGACGCAGCGACGCCGCGUGGGGAUGAAGGCCUUCGGGUUGUAAAGCUCUUCGCACGUGACGAUGAUGACGGUAACGUGAGAAGAAGCCCGGCUAACUUCGCGCCAGCAGCCGC